CCCUUAGAUGUUCUGGGCCGCACGCGUGCUACACUGAGUGGAUCAGCGGGUCAGGUUGCGCGAAAGCGUUUCCUAAUCUUUAAAUCCGCUCGUGAUGGGGAUUGACGGUUGCAAUUUUCUGUCAUGAACGAGGAAUACCUUGUAAGCGCGGGUCAUCAUCCCGCGCUGAAUACGUCCCUGCCCUUUGUACACACCGCCCGUCGCUCCUACCGAUUGAGUGGUCCGGUGAGGCUUUGGGAUCUGAGCGGAAAGAGCGUUUCGCUGUUUCUGCUCGGAAAACUCAGUCGAACCUUAUCAUUUAGAGGAAGGCGAAGUCGUAACA
rnacentral:rRNA from 1 species